rnacentral:sRNA from 1 species
UAAUGCUUUGACGCUAUCUUGACACGCUU